rnacentral:rRNA from 1 species
UACAGAGGUCUCGAGCGUUAGGCGGAAUCACUGGGCUUAAAGCGUGUGUAGGCGGAUCGUUAAGUACCUUGUGAAAUCCCACGGCUUAACCGUGGAACUGCUUGGUAUACUGGCGGUCUUGAGCCAGCUAGGGGCUACCGGAACAAAUGGUGGAGCGGUGAAAUGCGUAGAUAUCAUUUGGAACGCCAAUGGUGAAAACAGGUAGCUGGGGCUGUGCCGACGGUGGAGAACACGGAAAGCCAGGGGAGCGAACGGG